CGUAUGAGCUAGCAGGUGUUGCCUUCCAUGUUAUUGUUACUAUUAAAAAAGUAAAUACAAUUCGUUUCAUUACAAAUACAAAGUACAUUGUGAAACAGAAAGUUGACUUGAGUGGGUCAUUUAUAAGCGCAGCCUAUUACAGUGAAAGAAGCGGAAGCGAAAGUUGCCGAGAGGAGGCAACACAUUACACGAUUUGGCUCCUCUUUUCUCCCGGAUUGAGACAGACAUGGAGACUUUGCGAAAGAACAAGGUCUUCCUCAUUAACACUUUGUCCAUGGAUGCCAGCAUCAUCUUAAAUUUUGCCCAGCAGGAAAAUAUCCUCACCACGCGUGAAUACAACAAUCUUAACCACCCCAACCACACCCAGGAAAACAUUGUCACAAAUCUUCUAGACAAAGUGAUGAACAAGGGCAACGAGCUGUGUCUCCGAUUUGUGGAGCUCCUGCAACGUGAUGACCUUCAGGAAAAUUUCCCUCAGCUGAAAGAGUUUUUUAUGCCCCUUCAUACAUCAGUAGAAGAAAAUGCAGCCACAACCAGUGAAUAGGUUUCUUCGUUGACCCAUCCGACUGGGAUUGGAAGUGAAUGAAGAAGUGAGGACAUCCUGUCUAUCGUGCUGUAAAAAAUGUGGAAUACAGAUGACAAUGCACAAUGUGACAAUGCAGAAGAAGUUGGUGUUUCGUGUACUAAAUCAGCAUUAGGACUUGGUUAUGAUGGUCACUCUGGAAAAAACUCCAAAAGUCCAGUGCAGAGUUUGGAGAACCUAUUUAAGACAAACAUCUCUGCUGCACUAUGUAAAUCUGGCUUUAAUGGCAAGUUGGUAAGACAGAAUCCACUGUUGACUUAAAGGCAUGACAGCCCACUUGGACUCUGGAAAUGAUUCGCUGGUCUGAUGGGAAAAAAUAUACAUUCUUUGGGCAGUACAGUUAGCACUGUGUCUGGUGAAAAAUAGCAAAAAUUAUAUACAUUGUAUCAAUUCAAAAUCAAAUCCACAACACAAUAAGGUGUGCAAACGGUCAUGUACUUUCUGAACCCACAUUUUGUGUAAGAAAAAAUAUUUUAAAAAACACUGUUUAAUGUUAAAAAGUGGUAUAAUUAGGUGAGUGCAUUACUUUUACAUAAGAAACUUUUAC